GCCCCACUGUUUGAUUUUUGACCUAGGGUCUCAUAUAGCCUAGACUAGCCUCAGAUUCGGUAAGAAUAACUUUGAAUUUCUGAUUCAUCUGCUUUCGCCUCCCAAGCGCUGGGAUUCCAAGUCUGUGUCACCACGCUAUUGUGGAUGCAGUGCUGAGACUCAGACCCAGGGCCGCGUGCACUUCAAGAAAUAAAAAUGAAGUUCCCAAGCCACAGGAGUCCUAGCUUCCUGUACCUUCCCUGACUCAGACAUUGUCUCCAGGCUCAGCAAACACACUCUUGGCUUGGGAGUGUUCGGCCCGCUCACAACGUGCCUGUGAGUUUGUGGGAGCGGUGGCCAAGCCAGGAAGGAGACUAGUUACAGGCACAGGAUGCCCUACUCCCAUUUCCCCGAAUCCACCCACUGGGACCAGAGCAUCAAGUUCUCCGGAAGUCUGUGUGGGAAAGCAGAGGCACCAGCCUGGCUCGAAGAGGGACUCUUCUUCCCUGAACCCCAGUGUGCUGACUGGUGUUGUUAUGUCAACUGGACACAAGCUAGAGUCAUCCCAGAGGAGGGAGCCUCAACUGAGGAAACACAUCUCUGAGACUGGGCUGUAGG